UACGUAGGGUGCGAGCGUUGUCCGGAAUUACUGGGCGUAAAGAGCUCGUAGGUGGUUUGUCGCGUUGUCCGUGAAAACUCACAGCUCAACUGUGGGCGUGCGGGCGAUACGGGCAGACUGGAGUACUGCAGGGGAGACUGGAAUUCCUGGUGUAGCGGUGGAAUGCGCAGAUAUCAGGAGGAACACCGGUGGCGAAGGCGGGUCUCUGGGUAGUAACUGACGCUGAGGAGCGAAAGCGUGGGGAGCGAACAGG
rnacentral:rRNA from 1 species